ACUUCAAGCAUGCUUAGUACGGCGAGUGAGCGGCAAAAGCUCAAAUUUGAAAUCUGGCACCUUCGGUGUCCGAGUUGUAAUUUGAAGAAGGUAACUUUGGAGUUGGCUCUUGUCUAUGUUCCUUGGAACAGGACGUCACAGAGGGUGAGAAUCCCGUGCGAUGAGAUGCCCAAUUCUAUGUAAAGUGCUUUCGAAGAGUCGAGUUGUUUGGGAAUGCAGCUCUAAGUGGGUGGUAAAUUCCAUCUAAAGCUAAAUAUUGGCGAGAGACCGAUAGCGAACAAGUACAGUGAUGGAAAGAUGAAAAGAACUUUGAAAAGAGAGUGAAAAAGUACGUGAAAUUGUUGAAAGGGAAGGGCUUGAGAUCAGACUUGGUAUUUUGCGAUCCUUUCCUUCUUGGUUGGGUUCCUCGCAGCUUACUGGGCCAGCAUCGGUUUGGAUGGUAGGAUAAUGACUAAGGAAUGUGGCUCUACUUCGGUGGAGUGUUAUAGCCUUGGUUGAUACUGCCUGUCUAGACCGAGGACUGCGUCUUUUGACUAGGAUGUUGGCAUAAUGAUCUUAAGCCACCCGUCUGAA
rnacentral:rRNA from 1 species